UUCUUUUAUAAGUUUUAUUUUAAUUUUGUAUAUUUUAUAUCUCAUCUUAUUAUUUGAUUAUCUUGUAUGCUUUGAAUAAUAAUUGCUAUUGCAAAAAUUUCUGAUUUAUUAUUUAUUUUCAACCAACAUAACAAUGAUUUAUUUCUUAAAAUUAAACGAUGAAAAGUUUGUUUUGAUAUCGAUUGUAAACUCAUCGGGAUUUUAAAUAAGUUAAAAAAAAAAAUCAUGAAAUACAAUAACACAACUUUCCUGGAUUUGUUUUCUCUGGUUAUGGAGAAAUACAAUAACUUUAUUUUUUUAUGUAUUAAAGAAAAAGUAUUUAUUAUUACAACAAAAUUAAAGACAAAAUUGCUAUCCACCAUAUACCACAGACACCAUGUACUACAUGAUGUCUGUCAUUUUAGAUUGCAUUGUUUGGUUUUGGAAUGGUGAAAAUUUUGGAUAUUGUUGUUGUUACAUUUAAGCAAAGCAGCAUUACAUUAUAUCAGGGAUUUGAUAGUAAAAUUGAUUGUUCAUUAUAGUGAAAAUAUGUUAAAUAAGUGUACAUUAAGCAAAUAUACCUGACUUAAAACUUUAUAACAGAAUGUAUUCAAUAUAUUGUGUGUGUUAAAAUGUUUAAGAAAACAUUUUUAUCUGGCUGUAGGAUAUGACAUUCUAUUUUUCUGUAUGUGAUCAAUAAAUGGAUAUUUGAUAGAAUUUACUAUUAAAUAUUUUACAAUUCAAAGUCUUAUUUUACAGAAAAUGAUAUGAAUAUGAUACGAUUUACUAUCAAUAUAAUUAAUAGUGUAUUAUAUAUCUAAUGAGUAUGUCACAUGUUUUUAUUAAUGCAUUUAAGGAAAUAUUUCUUUGUUAAAUUUUUUUGGAAUAAAAUAAAUAAAUUGAAAAAUACGAUAUGUAUUAUAAAAUCA
rnacentral:lncRNA from 1 species